rnacentral:rRNA from 1 species
AUGACGACUCUAAAUCUUCCGGUGGAAGUUUUGAAAAAGAUUGAUGCUCUUCGGCGUGCCUAUCUUUGGGCUGGUUGUGACAAGGUCACGGGAGGGAAAUGUAAGGUCAAAUGGCAGCAAGUUUGCAAGUCCAAGCUGCAUGGUGGUCUUGGGAUACUAAAUCUUGAAAAGUUUGUGUCUGCACUUCAUCUCCAUUGGUUGUGGUUCAAUUGGCGAUACCUAGUCAAGCCUUGGUCGGCCUUGGGUACCCCUUGCGACAAGAAUGAUCGGAACAUCUUCGCGUCGGCCUCCAAGGUUCAGGUGGGUGAUGACCUCCGCGCAACUUUCUGGGAGUCAGCUUGGCUGGAUGGCAUAAGACCCAAAGGCAUUGCUCCCAAAAUUUAUGACAUCUCCAACAAAAAGAAUUGUUCAGUCCACAAGGCAUUGCUUAAUGACUACUGGAUCUCCCAGGUGAAGGUUGCUUCGGUCACCUCCUCUGAGCACAUCGCCCAGUUUGUUGCACUUUGGGAAAGACUCACCCACAUCCAGCUUAUCCCGGACAUGCAGGACUCCAUCACUUGGAAGCUCACUUCUGAUGGUCAUUACUCCGCGGCCUCGGCAUACAUGGCUUAGUUUCUUGGUUUGCUGGACACGGAUAUGAACCAAAAUGUUUGGAAGAACUGGGCACCCCCAAAGUGCAAAUUUUUCGCUUGGCUUAUUAUCAACAAUAGGAUUUGGACGGCUGGCAGACUACACCAAACUGCAACAUUUGCCCACUAUGCCAACAAGUCCAGGAAUCGGCAAGCCAUCUUCUUUUUCAAUGUGGAUACACCAUUCGGGUUUGGGGGCAUGAUCAAAACUUGGCUUGCUCUACUUUCAAAAAAAAACUUGGCUUGCUCUCCACAAUGUCCAGCCCAACGAUUGGAUUGA